UGGGGAAUAUUGCACAAUGGUCGCAAGCCUGAUGCAGCCAUGCCGCGUGUAUUAAGACGGCCUUCGGGUUGUAAAGUACUUUCAGUCGGGAGGAAGGUGGUAAGGUUAAUAACCUUAUCAAUUGACGUUACCGACAGAAGAAGCACCGGCUAACUCCGUGCUAGCAGCCGCGGUAAUACGGAGGGUGCAAGCGUUAAUCGGAAUUACUGGGCGUAAAGCGCACGCAGGCGGUUGAUUGAGUCGGAUGUGAAAUCCCCGGGCUUAACCCGGUAAUUGCACCUGAUACUGGUCAGCUAGAGUCUUGUAGAGGGGGGUAGAAUUCCAUGUGUAGCGGUGAAAUGCGUAGAGAUGUGGAGGAAUACCGGUGGCGAAGGCGGCCCCCUUGACAAAGACUGACGCUCAGGUGCGAAAGCGUGGGAAGCAAACAGG
rnacentral:rRNA from 1 species